rnacentral:rRNA from 1 species
CCCUUUCCGUAGGUGAACCUGCGGAGGGAUCAUUACACAAAUAUGAAGGCGGGCUGGAACCUCUCGGGGUUACAGCCUUGCUGAAUUAUUCACCCUUGUCUUUUGCGUACUUCUUGUUUCCUUGGUGGGUUCGCCCACCACUAGGACAAACAUAAACCUUUUGUAAUUGCAAUCAGCGUCAGUAACAAAUUAAUAAUUACAACUUUCAACAACGGAUCUCUUGGUUCUGGCAUCGAUGAAGAACGCAGCGAAAUGCGAUAAGUAGUGUGAAUUGCAGAAUUCAGUGAAUCAUCGAAUCUUUGAACGCACAUUGCGCCCUUUGGUAUUCCAAAGGGCAUGCCUGUUCGAGCGUCAUUUGUACCCUCAAGCUUUGCUUGGUGUUGGGCGUCUUGUCUCUAGCUUUGCUGGAGACUCGCCUUAAAGUAAUUGGCAGCCGGCCUACUGGUUUCGGAGCGCAGCACAAGUCGCACUCUCUAUCAGCAAAGGUCUAGCAUCCAUUAAGCCUUUUUUUCAACUUUUGACCUCGGAUCAGGUAGGGAUACCCGCUGAACUUAAGCAUAUCAAUAAGCGGAGGA